rnacentral:rRNA from 1 species
AUUGAACGCUAGCGGGAUGCCUUACACAUGCAAGUCGAACGGCAGCAUAAGAGAGCUUGCUCUCUUGAUGGCGAGUGGCGAACGGGUGAGUAACACGUGAGUAACCUGCCCCAGAGUGGGGGACAACAGUUGGAAACGACUGCUAAUACCGCAUAAGCCCACGGAACCGCAUGGUUCUGGGGGAAAAGGAGCAAUUCGCUCUGGGAUGGACUCGCGUCCGAUUAGCUGGAUGGUGAGGUAACGGCCCACCAUGGCGACGAUCGGUAGCCGGACUGAGAGGUUGAUCGGCCACAUUGGGACUGAGACACGGCCCAG